AAGAGCAGACAGCCACAACUCUGACAGCAUGGCUCGUGUUUAGUGGUGCCUCUUUAGUUAGUUUGUGAGAGAGACUCAACUGAGGUUUUUUUUUUUUCUUGCUUUCUAUCUUUGAAAGUAUGUAUUACUGAUCCAUUCAACUUUUAGAUUCUCCAAAGAAAAUUCUUUCCUAGGAAAGGUGAGAGAGCUACAAGAAGAUGUAGCUAAAAUGAGUUUCAUUUUGGGUUCUGCAGUGGCAGUGGCAGCCGCAGCAACGGGAUGCAGGCAGCAUGGCUUCAGAAAUGAGCUCUUCACCAAGAUUUGAAAGAACUCUUCGUGCAUCUUAGUUUAUAAUUAUGGCCCAGCUCUUGGGGGCACUUCACAGCUGAGCAUCUCUCUCCAGGUUCCCUUCCUCAGCUGCAAUAUUGGAAACACAUCGCAAAACAGAAGCAACUUGCUUUUCUUUCUACAAUGCAUAGAAGACCAUCGUCUGCAGUUUCUCCAACUCAGAAUUGGAAAAAUCAUAAACUCGUAACAAAAAAUAAUCUUAGAACUUCAGACCAGGAGUGAGGAGACAGCCUGUGACUCCACUUCUGCCCAGAGAGCCAGACACAAGGCACAAGCGAGUGUCAAUACCAACAGCAUCACAGUACCAGGCUAUGCACAACCCCUUGAUUUCUCUCCACAGCGUCCACCGUGAAUGCCAACCUAUUCCUGUGAAACACAUUUUGAGGAGAAUAAAGACAAUACCAUGGAAUCCCAGGGGUUGAUUGACCAAAGCUGCAGACCGACAGACAGGCCUGCCUUCAGUGGCUGGAAAAGAUGGUUAAGGCUUAUUCUAAUUGAAAAUCGACAUCCAUUGUGAACAGAGAGGUCAGCGGGCUCUCAUACAAACACUACAACAUCGAGUUUUGCAGUCCUGGUGAGAGGUCCCUUCCCCCAUCAUCAUUACGCUGCGUGGCUCAGGUGAGGCUGACUCACUCCCAGCAGCUGGGGUUGUCAAGACAUGGAAGCACGGCGCAUCAGGUGUUUCAUUUCUCUCUGAGGACGGAGACAGACCCAGCUGAAUCAGUGAAAAAAAAGCUCCCAUGAGAUUUCGAAGAAUUCUGACAAAAGAGGCCUUCCUUUCCCCAGAAACUGAGCUUCUAGAUCAUCAUAAGCCUGCCUCUUCCAGUUACUGUCUCUACUCCCCAGAUGAGGGAAAUUGAUGUUAGAAAGAGAAGAAAACAUUGCCGAGAAAGGCAAAUAGUUGAAGGUACUCUGAUAACACCGUUGGUGGUUUGAUUUGUUAAAACAAGGUUUUACUGCAUAGCCCUGACUGGCUUUGAACUGUUGACAGUCCAUUUGCCUCAGCCUCCCAACUAACUAGGAUUAUAGGGAGGUAUGAGCCGUUAUGGUUAGUUUGUAGAUGUUUUAAAAUUUUAAUAUAGGAUAUUUCAUUUCAUCAAAUUACAGAACAACUAAGAAGC
ensembl:lincRNA Gm17767 predicted gene, 17767